CCUACGGGCGGCAGCAGUGAGGAAUAUUGGUCAAUGGGCGCGAGCCUGAACCAGCCAAGUAGCGUGAAGGAUGACUGCCCUACGGGUUGUAAACUUCUUUUAUAAAGGAAUAAAGUGAAGCAUGUGUGCCUUUUUGUAUGUACUUUAUGAAUAAGGAUCGGCUAACUCCGUGCCAGCAGCCGCGGUAAUACGGAGGAUCCGAGCGUUAUCCGGAUUUAUUGGGUUUAAAGGGAGCGUAGGUGGGUUGUUAAGUCAGUUGUGAAAGUUUGCGGCUCAACCGUAAAAUUGCAGUUGAUACUGGCAUCCUUGAGUACAGUAGAGGUAGGCGGAAUUCGUGGUGUAGCGGUGAAAUGCUUAGAUAUCACGAAGAACUCCGAUUGCGAAGGCAGCCUACUGGACUGCAACUGACGCUGAUGCUCGAAAGUGUGGGUAUCAAACAGGAUUAGAUACCCUAGUAGUC
rnacentral:rRNA from 1 species